GACGGGGAUGCUCUGAGCCGAGAGACCACAUCCCAGUCCGAGGAUGCAGCCGAGGUGAGGGCGGCGAGGCGCCCUCCCAACCUCCGGCCGGGCUGGGCGGUGCCGGGGGCCGGCUGCAGGCGGAGGAGGAGGAGGAAAAGGCCAGGAUAUUCCUGAAUGAACGGCUCGCUCCUCACCCCACACCUCCGCCCGGCUCCCGCCUCCCUCCCGCCACUCGCCGGUGUCUCUUCGAGGCGCAGCCAGUUUCUAUAGCGACGGCGCUGAGCCGCGGCUCUUCCGAGUAGUAACAAAGCCGGCCGCCCGCUGCCGCGCCGGGGCUGCGGGGGGAAGCGGCUGCCGCUGCCGAGGACGCCCGACAGUUUUUGCCCAUGUGGAGAAGAAAAGGCAUUUCUUGUGUUCUGCGCAAGUGAACCUUUCCAAGGAGUUCUUUUUCAUGGAAAAUGGACACCUGGCUCAGAGUAAAGGACAUGCAGUGCACAGUCCCUAGCAGAAGCUGAAAAUGGAUGAUGUCUACUGAUGCUUUUCAAUGAUGUCAUCUCCUCUUUUUCUGUUUGAGAUGGGUGAUAGGAAAAUGUUCUAAGACUGAGUGACCUCUUCAUCCCUUGACUUCUCUUUCCACAAG
rnacentral:lncRNA from 1 species